rnacentral:rRNA from 1 species
UGGGGAAUAUUGGACAAUGGGCGCAAGCCUGAUCCAGCCAUGCCGCGUGUGUGAAGAAGGCCUUUUGGUUGUAAAGCACUUUAAGCGAGGAGGAGGCUACCUGUAUUAAUACUAUAGGAUAGUGGACGUUACUCGCAGAAUAAGCACCGGCUAACUCUGUGCCAGCAGCCGCGGUAAUACAGAGGGUGCGAGCGUUAAUCGGAAUUACUGGGCGUAAAGCGCGCGUAGGCGGUUUGUUAAGUCGGAUGUGAAAUCCCCGGGCUCAACCUGGGAAUUGCAUUCGAUACUGGCAAGCUAGAGUAUGGGAGAGGAAGGUAGAAUUCCAGGUGUAGCGGUGAAAUGCGUAGAGAUCUGGAGGAAUACCGAUGGCGAAGGCAGCCUUCUGGCCUAAUACUGACGCUGAGGUGCGAAAGCAUGGGGAGCAAACAGGAUUAGAUACCCUGGUAGUCCAUGCCGUAAACCGAUGUCAACUAGCCGUUGGGGGAUUUGAUCCUUUAGUGGCGCAGCUAACGCGAU